UACGUAGGGGGCUAGCGUUGUCCGGAAUCAUUGGGCGUAAAGCGCGCGUAGGCGGCCCGGUAAGUCCGCUGUAAAAGUCAAAGGCUCAACCUUGAAUGUCAGUGGAUACUGCCGGGCUAGAGUCCGGAAGAGGCGAGUGGAACUCCUGGUGUAGCGGUGGAAUGCGCAGAUAUCAGGAAGAACACCGACGGCGAAGGCAGCUCGCUGGGACGGUACUGACGCGUGAGGCGCGAAAGGCGUGGGGAGCGAACAGG
rnacentral:rRNA from 1 species